GACAUCCUGAAGACUUCUGUGGGAGCAGAUGCCUAGCUGAAGCACAGCUGACAAGAGAGUCAUGAAAAAGCCAAAAGGAUCACCUGCUAAGUCCAUUUUAAAAUCAUGAUCUACAGAAAGAGACAGGGUCUUGCUCCAUCACCCAGGCUGGAGUUCAGUGGCAUAUUCACAGCUCGCUGCAGCUUUCACCUUCCAGGUUCAAGUUGUCUUCCCACCUCAGCCUCCCAAGUAGCUGGGACCACAGGAGGAAAUCUCUUCACUGCUGGCACUGACAAUGGAAGACUGAGGGUGCCCGGGAUCCUUCACCCCCACAUCCAGUGAGUCCACGGAACCCAGGGUAACUGGGAUGGUAUCUGAAAAAAUCCAAAUCUGUU
rnacentral:lncRNA from 1 species